UAAGUGUGGUAAAUGAUCGCGGCUGCAAAACCGAAAGGUUGCAGGUGAGGAAAGUCCGGGCUUCACAGGGCAGGAUGCCGGAUAACAUCCGGUGGAGGUGACUCUAAGGACAGUGCAACAGAAAUAUACCGCUGCGUAAGCAGUAAGGGUGGAAGGGCAGUGUAAGAGACUACCGCCUCUCUGGUAACAGGGAGGGCACAUGUAAACCCCAUCCGAAGCAAGACCGAAUAAAAGCGUUGAUGUGGCCCGCUAGCUUUAGGUAGGUUGCUUGAGGUAACUGGUAACAGUUAUCCUAGAUAGAUGAUCAUUCACGACAUAACCCGGCUUAUCGCUGCGCUUAUUUU
rnacentral:RNase_P_RNA from 1 species